AUUUGAGAUAUGUGGAAAGUGAAGCCUCUGAACACGAACACGUCAGCCUGGGGUCAAGGUGUGCUGGUGACAGUAUAAAGACACUGAAGAAGUUGAGUGAACUCAAAAGAAAAGGAAACAAAGUGAAAACGAAAAUGCUGGUCAUAAAGGGUCUGACCAUAAAUGUCCUUAGAGGCAUGGUGGCCAUUGGAGUCAUAGGCAUGAGUACGUCUGCUCUAUUUGGCGUGGCUGCCAUGAUUACAACGGGUGCUUAUGGGGUCUUUGAAGUCACUCGGUAUCUGAUGAACAAACGCAAAAAGCAAUGAAGACGACGCACUUCAGCUUCCUUAGAGAUGCCAAGGAGGCACAGCAGGCUGGCAAGCCAGUGACUUCAACAAACCUUGUGAUGUCACUUAAACAGCAGAAUUAAAAUCAGAUGACAGAA